CGCGUAGGUGGUUUUGUAAGUCUGGAGUGAAACCCCCGUUUUCAAGGCGGGGCCUGCUUUGGAGACUGCAGGACUUGAGUGAUGGAGAGGAUAGCGGAAUUCCCGGUGUAGCGGUGAAAUGCGUAGAGAUCGGGAGGAACACCAGUGGCGAAGGCGGCUAUCUGGACAUAGACUGACACUGAGGCGCGAAAGCGUGGGGAGCAAACA
rnacentral:rRNA from 1 species